ACGGAAGGCCGCAGUAGGGAAUCUUCCACAAUGGGCGAAAGCCUGAUGGAGCAACGCCGCGUGAGUGAAGAAGGUUUUCGGAUCGUAAAACUCUGUUGUAAGGGAAGAACAAGUACAGUAGUAACUGGCUGUACCUUGACGGUACCUUAUUAGAAAGCCACGGCUAACUACGUGCCAGCAGCCGCGGUAAUACGUAGGUGGCAAGCGUUGUCCGGAUUUAUUGGGCGUAAAGCGCGCGCAGGUGGUUUCUUAAGUCUGAUGUGAAAGCCCAGGGCUCAACCGUGGAGGGUCAUUGGAAACUGUGAGACUUGAGUGCAGAAGAGGAAAGUGGAAUUCCAAGUGUAGCGGUGAAAUGCGUAGAGAUUUGGAGGAACACCAGUGGCGAAGGCGACUUUCUGGUCUGUAACUGACACUGAGGCGCGAAAGCGUGGGAGCAAACAGGAUUAGAUACCCUGGUA
rnacentral:rRNA from 1 species